rnacentral:rRNA from 1 species
GACGAACGCUGGCGGCGUGCUUAACACAUGCAAGUCGAACGAUGAAGCUAGAGCUUGCUCUGGUGGAUUAGUGGCGAACGGGUGAGUAACACGUGAGUAACCUGCCCCGAACUCUGGGAUAACUGCUGGAAACGGUAGCUAAUACUGGAUACGACCAACGAAGGCAUCUUCUGUUGGUGGAAAGAAUUUCGGUUCGGGAUGGACUCGCGGCCUAUCAGCUUGUUGGGGAGGUAACGGCUCACCAAGGCGACGACGGGUCGCCGGCCUGAGAGGGUGAUCGGCCUCACUGGGACUGAGACACGGCCCAGACUCCUACGGGAGGCAGCAGUGGGGAAUAUUGCACGAUGGGCGCAAGCCUGAUGCAGCAACGCCGCGUGAGGGACGACGGCCUUCGGGUUGUAAACCUCUUUUAGUAGGGAAGAAGCGAAAGUGACGGUACCUGCAGAAAAAGCACCGGCUAACUACGUGCCAGCCGCCGCGGUAA